CCUACGGGAGGCAGCAGUGGGGAAUAUUGCACAAUGGGGGAAACCCUGAUGCAGCGAUGCCGCGUGGAGGAAGAAGGUUUUCGGAUUGUAAACUCCUGUCUUAAAGGACGAUAAUGACGGUACUUUAGGAGGAAGCUCCGGCUAACUACGUGCCAGCAGCCGCGGUAAUACGUAGGGAGCGAGCGUUGUCCGGAAUUACUGGGUGUAAAGGGAGCGUAGGCGGGAGUGCAAGUCAGGUGUGAAAACUAUGGGCUCAACCCAUAGACUGCACUUGAAACUGCAUUUCUGAGUGAAGUAGAGGUGAGCGGAAUUCCUGGUGUAGCGGUGAAAUGCGUAGAUAUCAGGAGGAACACCGGUGGCGAAGGCGGCUUACUGGGCUUUUACUGACGCUGAGGCUCGAAAGCGUGGGGAGCAAACAGGAUUAGAUACCCUGGUAGUCCACGCUGUAAACGAUGAUUACUAGGUGUGGGGGACUGACCCUUCCGUGCCGCAGUUAACACAAUAAGUAAUCCACCUGGGAGUACGGCGCAAGGUUGAAACUCAAAGGAAUUGAACGGCNGAGACGNGCGAGACGACACGAGGAGAG
rnacentral:rRNA from 1 species